GGUUGUUAUCCUUUAUGGACCAGCCCUCUGGGGAGCCACAGGGAACAGCUUGGAACAACAGGGAAUGCAUUUGGAAGUUGCCAAACUUUACUUACUGCCUCGCAGGGCUUCGGGAUUUGGAUUAUUGGCUCUCACCUGCGUGGGCAUCUGGAAGAUUUUGGAUUAUCUGUUUUUUAACAGAGGAGAAAACUCGAGGGAGCUCCAGCCUGAGAAAUCCCAGCGAGUUCUGGGGAUUAACACGUGGCCUUCCAGGCGGGGAUGUUGGAGGCAAAAUCCUUGGGAAAUGCCAGAGCUCUGCUAACAGCACUCCUGAAGAUGAAUGGCCUUCCUAAUCCUUAUUUUAUCUGGGAAGAGUUGAAGCGUAGUGAAUUGAAGGUCUGAAGAUCCCUCUCUGUGCACUCCCAGGCCUUGCUUAGCAUUCUAUGGGCAGAUUCCUGAAGAUUGGAUGAGCUGAUCCCCCCUUGCAGUGGCAGCUGUGGGAUGUGCAAUCUCCAGGGGUGCAGCCAGGGCCCCUCAGGAGAGCCUGGAGAUGGUGCCAGUGACUUCUCUGGAGCUCUGGAUGUCGCUGCCAGCUUCCCCUCAAACAGCCAGGGAAGAGAGGGAAGGAGAGAUGGGAAGAGCUGAACCAUGCACAGAACAUUCCCUGAAUCCUCCCUGCAGGUGCUGCUGGUUGAUUUUUAUGUUCCCUGGGUUCCCUGUGGAUGGGCUGCUCCAGCCUCAGCCAUGAUCCCAGGUAAGGAGAUCUCCUGAGGAGCUGUGGCUGUCCCAGAAAUGGGAAAAUGUUCAACCCAGGAAGAGGAGGACAGUGCUGACAGCUUUUCUGGAUUUAUGGCACAGCAGCAGGUCCUUCUUGGUCCUGAAAGGAGACAGAUCUCAAUUGUUUAGGGUCAAAAUCUCAAUUGUUUAAGAUCAGCAAAUCCAAGCAUUAAAGGGAUGUAGGUGUGGAAUGUUCCUGGGUGGGGUUUAAUGGUGAGGGUAUGGAAUUCCCACAGGGAUCAGCCAGGUUGUGCCAUGGGAUGGGGUUGGAUCUCUGCCCACUGCGUGCCCUGGUAGAUCUUCUCCCAAAAAACCAAAGGUGAUCGACAGGAUGCUGGACCUGGAUCAGCUGAGCCAGAGCAGUUCUUCCCUAAAAUCCUCUCUGGUUUCUCUUCUGCUUGUGUGGAGGUGGAAACUCUCCUGGGGGUCCUUUUCCUCUAGAGGUCACUCUCCAAGGUUAUUCCCCUGCUCCUGGAGACACUCCUAUGUUCUCUGGCCAUCUCCUUACCCCCAAGGCUGGCCUUCUUGGCCCCCAAAUUUCUGCUCCAAAAGAAGCUCCAAACCUCUCCUAGACUUCAUUUUUUGAGGCCAGAGGCUCCUUUUCCAUAUAUCCACACAUAGUUUCUCCCUCUAUGCCAUCCAGUUCUGCCCUCCAGACUCCCAGACUUCCCUUGUGCUUUUCCCAAGGGAGUGUUGGACUCUCCAGGAGGUGGAGCAGCCCCGGAUGAAAUGUCCAUCUUCUGGUGGCACUUCCAGCUCCCUGAAGGGGCCUGGGAGCAGGGAGGGACCUCCCAAAGGCCCAACAGUUCCAAGCUCAUGGAAUGUCCUCCUCCCUGCCACCAAUCCAUACAAACCUGGCCAUAUUUCAACCUCCUGUGCCCACCUCAACUCUAUGGCUUUAUUUUCACCACAGGCUCUUUGUUCCUGGAUGCUCUGGAAAGGGAAUUAGUGCCUAAUCCUUCUAUAUGUGACUCCAUGCUUUGCAUAUCAUCCUUGUGUCCCUUGUCCCCAACAUCUUCUCUUUUGUGACGAGCUGAGCUCGUGUCUGAACUCUCUUCCCUGAUCCUAGAAGGUUUUUUCCUCCCAUCCUGGGAGAUUACAACUAAUUCAGUGCCCAGCCAUGCAUGCCAAAAUUUAAAUAAUAAAUCAUCUCUCCCUGCCAGCAAACACCCCUGGACACGAAGGCAAAGCCCCACUCCUUCCCUGGAAAAUGGGGCUCAGCCUCAGCCUGAAAAUUCGGGGAAUUGUGGAUUGGGGGUGCUGCCCACCUGCCUGCACAUCCCCCCUCCCUGCCCCGCCUGCCUUGGCUCUGCUCUGAAGGAAAUGAUUGCAUUGGGAUCCUCCAAAUGCCAGGGAAGGGAGCAGGGGAGCCCAGAGGAGCCAGUGUGGGGCGGGGAUGGAAGGGAAGACACGGCAGAAAAUGAGAGCAGGGAACAGAACCUGGGGU